UUUAUCGCUUCCCUACAUAUAUUAAACCACCAUCGGCAAACUGUUUGUCAGGUUGAGCUCGGUUUUCUGUGCUGCCGAAUACGACGAGACCAGUCAAAGCCUUUAUGGCAUAAUUAUGGCUUAUGUGCCCGGUUGUUGGCACAUAGCCGCUUUAUUGUUUUAAUCAAUUUUUAAUAAUUAACAAGAAAAAUUAUUAAUUAAUAACUAUAUAACAUUUAGCACAGAAAAGGUGGGGGCAUUACUAACGCCCACUACACAUAACGUAUCUAUAUAAGUUCAACAUAUCGCGUCCAACAACGGGGAGGAGGGUGGGUAAUUCUCUUCUAUCCAAUUUCUUGAUGUGAACUGCAGGCCUCGUGGAAUAGGAAAGGACAGAUAGCCCGCUUCACCACUGAUAAAUACCGAAAUUUCCAGUCACGUGACUAUACCUAAAUUAACUUGCGCGCGAAAAUUACUUAUUUCGCAUAAUUAAUUUCAACCAUAAAUUAUUCCGGGAAGCAAUAAAAACUCUUAUCGCUGUGGCAAUAAGUUCUUUUAUCGCUUCCCUACAUAUAUUAAACCACCAUCGGCAAACUGUUUGUCAGGUUGAGCUCGGUUUUCUGUGCUGCCGAAUACUACGAGACCAGUCAAAGCCUUUAUGGCAUAAUUAUGGCUUAUGUGCCCGGUUGUUGGCACAUAGCCGCUUUAUUGUUUUAAUCAAUUUUUAAUAAUUAACAAGACAAAUUAUUAAUUAAUAACUAUAUAACAUUUAGCACAGAAAAGGUGGGGGCAUUACUAACGCCACAAGUCUCCUUGGGAUAAAGGAGACACACCCCACCCCAACAUGACAAAUCGUUUGCAGAUGAUCGUGAAAAAUAUCUACAUAUACUGAUACCACAUGUUACGAAAACCUCAAUCUAUGUCAGUUUCACUGCACAUGCUAUUGUCAGUCAAAAGCAAUGAACUUGCACUGGUCUACAUAAUAGCAGUACUAUCAAUUACCUAGUUGACUAUAUACUAUAUACAAGCCUCUACUGAAAUAAAUAUGAUCAGCUGAAAUGUGAACUUUACCCCUGUGUCAGUUCAAUAUCCAACCGAUCACGAAUACGUGUCGCCAGAUGCGAUAAAAUACCAGUUUCUAGCGAAAUAACUAUCAUCAGCUGAAAUGUGAACCUUACCCCUGUGUCAGUUCAAUAUCCAACCGAUGACGAAUAAGUGUCAAGAGGCGAUAAAAUACCGUAUUAUACCAGUUUCUAGCGAAAUAAAUAUCAUCAGCUGAAAUGUAAACCUUACCCCUGUGUCGGUUCAACGUCCAGCGAUGACGAAAAAGUAAGAUAAAAUACCUAGGUAAUCGCCAGUUUCGGGCGAAAUAAACAUGCAUGAUCAGCUAAAAUGUGAACCUUACCCCUGUUUCAGUUCAACAUCCAGCCGGCAAUGACGUUUGCGAAAAACAAAACAUUUGUUGUACAUACUGUUAUUAACAAACUGGAUAAAUUAAAUUUAGAAACGUGAAUUGAGGUUAUAUAUAUGAUAGUCGAUCCGGAAUGACUGUUGGUGAUGAAUGAACAUUGGCCGAUGCAAGCUGUGUCAACGUAGAAACCUGUAUCCGAGAUACAGGAUUCCCUGAAACACUUUUUAAUCCCGAUAUGUGCCGCGAGUAUACGAAAUAAAGGUAUACUUAAUGCUAUUAAUUAAAAACAAGCAAGCACCAGUUUACGUACAAAUAUCAUAACAGUCGAAUCCCAAAAUGGAACCGAAUAGCCUUAUUAUAAUAUCAACCAAUGCAGCAUCAUCUGUUAAGAACGUUAUACGCUGAAUUACCACCGCCUCGCAAAUUGCCGAGUGCGAAUAGGGUAUAGCGACUAUGCUGGGCCGAUCGGAUGCAUUUUGUAAGAUCGUAUUAAAGAUCAACAAGACGCCUGCUCAGGCGUUCACACUGACCUGAAAAUGACGACAUACGAGCUACGGUGCAAUAGACAAGAAUACAAGUCGUGAACCGCAGACGCAAAGCGUGAAAGGCUAAAAGCUCGGCUAAAAGCGUGCCGUGAUCCUCAGGAGAUGUUUUCGUAAUGCCCAAUAAACACACAAGUAUUACUCACAAAUACAAACGUUAUCCACG